GACGAGUGGCGGACGGGUGAGUAAUGUCUGGGAAACUGCCUGAUGGAGGGGGAUAACUACUGGAAACGGUAGCUAAUACCGCAUAACGUCGCAAGACCAAAGAGGGGGACCUUCGGGCCUCUUGCCAUCAGAUGUGCCCAGAUGGGAUUAGCUAGUAGGUGGGGUAACGGCUCACCUAGGCGACGAUCCCUAGCUGGUCUGAGAGGAUGACCAGCCACACUGGAACUGAGACACGGUCCAGACUCCUACGGGAGGCAGCAGUGGGGAAUAUUGCACAAUGGGCGCAAGCCUGAUGCAGCCAUGCCGCGUGUAUGAAGAAGGCCUUCGGGUUGUAAAGUACUUUCAGCGGGGAGGAAGGUGUUGUGGUUAAUAACCACAGCAAUUGACGUUACCCGCAGAAGAAGCACCGGCUAACUCCGUGCCAGCAGCCGCGGUAAUACGGAGGGUGCAAGCGUUAAUCGGAAUUACUGGGCGUAAAGCGCACGCAGGCGGUCUGUCAAGUCGGAUGUGAAAUCCCCGGGCUCAACCUGGGAACUGCAUUCGAAACUGGCAGGCUAGAGUCUUGUAGAGGGGGGUAGAAUUCCAGGUGUAGCGGUGAAAUGCGUAGAGAUCUGGAGGAAUACCGGUGGCGAAGGCGGCCCCCUGGACAAAGACUGACGCUCAGGUGCGAAAGCGUGGGGAGCAAACAGGAUUAGAU
rnacentral:rRNA from 1 species